ACGCCAGCAAAAUCUGGCGUCGGGAUUGGCGUCCCGGAAUUUCACCGCGACAGAGACACGCCGCGAGCGUGUUUUUU
rnacentral:sRNA from 24 species